UACGGGGGGAGCAAGCGUUGUUCGGAUUUACUGGGCGUAAAGGGCGCGUAGGCGGCGUGACAAGUCACUUGUGAAAUCUCCGGGCUUAACUCGGAGCGGCCAAGUGAUACUGUCGUGCUAGAGUGCGGAAGGGGCUACUGGAAUUCUCGGUGUAGCGGUGAAAUGCGUAGAUAUCGAGAGGAACACCUGCGGCGAAGGCGGGUAGCUGGGCCGAUACUGACGCUGAGGAGCGAAAGCGUGGGGAGCGAACAGG
rnacentral:rRNA from 1 species